rfam:Mus musculus chromosome 13, GRC primary reference assembly.
CAAAAGGCCCUUUUCAGGGCCACCCACUUAAUUCUUUGAAGCGCUGU